CAGCAGCCACGGGAAUACGGAGGAUCCAAGCGUUAUCCGGAAUCAUUGGGUUUAAAGGGUCCGUAGGCGGUCUUGUAAGUCAGUGGUGAAAGCCCAUCGCUCAACGGUGGAACGGCCAUUGAUACUGCAGGACUUGAAUUAUUGGGAAGUAACUAGAAUAUGUAGUGUAGCGGUGAAAUGCUUAGAGAUUACAUGGAAUACCAAUUGCGAAGGCAGGUUACUACCAAUUGAUUGACGCUGAUGGACGAAAGCGUGGGUAGCGAACAGGAUUAGAUACCCGUGUAGUCCCUGUCUCUUAUAA
rnacentral:rRNA from 1 species